rnacentral:rRNA from 1 species
CCUGGGGAAUGGAAUUGGCAUUCUUUACUUGGUGAAGCAGGAAGUGGUUCAGGCUUCUAGUGUGAAGCGAUAGGCUCCCGGUCUCCCUUAGAGGCAUUGCCGGUAGGGUCUGCGCGACCUGUUCCGAGCACAGCGUCAGGUGCUGCAUCUGUCAACCGGUGGUGCAGCUGCCACAAGGCAAGCCCCGCAUGGACAGAAACCUUGUGUAGAGAAAAAGGGCAAAUGAAUGCGUGAUCUUGAAUUUCAGCACAAUUAGAGACCAUAAGAGCGGGACCCGUGGAUUCUUUUGGUUUUAAGAAUUUUACGUGAGAUGUGUCAGAAAGGUUACCACAGGGAUAACUGGCUCGUGGUGGGCAAGUGUUCAUAGCGACGUCACUUUUUUAUCCUUAGAUGUCGGCUGUUCCUAUCAUUGUGAAGCAGAAUUCACUACGCGUUCGAUUGUUCACCCAGUAGUAGGGGAUGUGGGCUGGGAUUAAACUUUCGUGAGAUAGGUUAGUU